rnacentral:rRNA from 1 species
GACGAACGCUGGCGGCGUGCCUAAUACAUGCAAGUCGAGCGGACCAAAGGGAGCUUGCUCCUGGAGGUUAGCGGCGAACGGGUGAGUAACACGUGGGCAACCUGCCUGUAAGACUGGGAUAACAUCGAGAAAUCGGUGCUAAUACCGGAUAAUAAAAAGAACUGCAUGGUUCUUUUUGAAAGAUGGUUUCGGCUAUCACUUACAGAUGGGCCCGCGGCGCAUUAGCUAGUUGGUGAGGUAACGGCUCACCAAGGCAACGAUGCGUGGCCGACCUGAGAGGGUGAUCGGCCACACUGGGACUGAGACACGGCCCAGACUCCUACGGGAGGCAGCAGUAGGGAAUCUUCCGCAAUGGACGAAAGUCUGACGGAGCAACGCCGCGUGAGUGAUGAAGGUUUUCGGAUCGUAAAACUCUGUUGUUAGGGAAGAACAAGUGCCGUUCGAAAGGCGGCACCUUGACGGUACCUAACGAGAAAGCCACGGCUAACUACGUGCCAGCAGCCGCGGUAA